rnacentral:rRNA from 1 species
AUACAGGGGGUGCGAGCGUUAAUCGGAAUUACUGGGCGUAAAGAGUACGUAGGCGGUUGCUUAAGUCAGAUGUGAAAGCCCCGGGCUCAACCUGGGAACUGCAUUUGAAACUGAGUGACUAGAGUUUAAGAGAGGGGAGUAGAAUUCCGGGUGUAGCGGUGAAAUGCGUAGAGAUCCGGAGGAAUACCAGUGGCGAAGGCGGCUCCCUGGCUUAAAACUGACGCUGAGGUACGAAAGCGUGGGUAGCAAACAGGAUUAGAAACCCUUGUAGUCCC